AUUGAACACUGGCGGCAUGCCUUACACAUGCAAGUCGAACGGCAGCACGGGAGCAAUCCUGGUGGCGAGUGGCGAACGGGUGAGUAACAUAUCGGAACGUGCCCGGUAGUGGGGGAUAACCCGGCGAAAGUCGGACUAAUACCGCAUACGACCUACGGGUGAAAGCGGGGGAUCGCAAGACCUCGCGCUAUUGGAGCGGCCGAUAUCAGAUUAGCUAGUUGGUGGGGUAAAGGCCUACCAAGGCGACGAUCUGUAGCUGGUCUGAGAGGACGACCAGCCACACUGGGACUGAGACACGGCCCAGACUCCUACGGGAGGCAGCAGUGGGGAAUUUUGGACAAUGGGCGCAAGCCUGAUCCAGCCAUGCCGCGUGCGGGAAGAAGGCCUCGG
rnacentral:rRNA from 1 species